rnacentral:lncRNA from 1 species
GUUUUAAUAUUCCCUGUUUGACAGAGUCCCUUCAUUAGAGUCCCAUAAGUAACUACAUCAGGCAGACAACCUAACUUUUGCAUUUUCAUAAACAACUGUGUGGCUUCACUAAUCCUAUCAUUCAUACACAACCCUUUAACCAAGGUAGUAUACGUCACUGUAUUAGGAAUGCAACCUCUCUGAAUCAUCACCUCUAGCAACUCGUUAGCCUCGAUAACCUUUCCUUCCUUGCAAAGCAUAUCAAUCAACACACUGAACGUAGUCACAUCAGGUUGAACACCUAUAUCCACCAUCUCAUUGAACAAAUAUUUAGCAUCCUUCCACUUUCCACUACGGCAAAAUCCAUGAAUCAAAGAGGUAUAUGAAAUCACGUCAGGAAUCACUCCUAGAGCUUUCAUUUCCUUGAAAAGCUCUCUUGCCUCGUCUUCCCGUCCACACUUACAAAGCCCAUCUAUGAUGAUACUAUAGGAAAUAGCAUUAGGCUUACAAUUAAUCCCAUAUGGACUAGUGUCACUUAGCAUAUUUUUAUGCAACUCAAGUGCAAUUUUAAUAUUCCCACUUUGACAGAGCCCCUUCAUUAAAGUCGCACACGUAACUACAUUAGGCAUACAACCUAACUUUUGCAUUUUUAGAAAUAACUGUGUGGCUUUACUAAUUCUAUGCUUCAUACACAACCCUUUAACCAAGGUAGUACACGUCACUACAUCAAGAAUGCAACCUCUCUGAAUCACUACCUCUAGCAACUUGUUAGCCUCGAUAACCUUUCCUUUCUUGCAAAGCAUAUCGAUCAACACACUAGAUGUAGUCACAUCAGGCUGAAUACCUACAUCCAACAUCUCAUUAAACAAACAUUUAGCCUUCUCCCACUUUCCACUAAGGCAAAAUCCAUGAAUCAAAGUGGUAUAUGAAAUGACAUCUGGCAUUAUCCCCUGAGCUUUCAUUUCCUCGAAAAGUUCUCUUGCCUCAUCUUCCCGCCUAUCCUUACAAAGUCCAUCAAUAAUGAUACUAUAAGAAAUAAGAGUAGGCUUACAUUUAAUCCCAUAUCGACCGGUGUCAUUGAGCAUUUCUUGAUGUAAUUGAAGUGCAGUGUUAAUAUUCCCUGUUUGACAGAGCCCUUUCAUUAAAGUCCCAUAAGCAAUCGCAUCAGGCCUACAACCUAACUUUUGCAUACUCAUAAAUAGCCGUGUAGCUUCACUAAUCCUAUGCUUCAUACACAAGCCCUUAAUCAAGGUACUAUAGGUGACUAUAUCAAGAAUGCAACCCCUCUGAAUCAUCACCUCUAGCAACUCGUUGGCCUCAAUAACCUUUCCUUCCUUGCAAAGUAUAUCAAUCAACAUACUAGACGUAGUCACAUCAGGCCGAAUACCUACAUCCAACAUCUCAUUAAACAAACAUUUAGCCUUCUCCCACUUUCCACUACGACAAAAUCCAUGAAUCAAAGAGGUAUAUGAAAUGACAUCUGGCAUCAUCCCCUGAGCCUUCAUUUCCUUGAAAAGUUCUCUUGCCUCGUCUUCUCGCCUAUCCUUACAAAGUCCAUCAAUAAUUAUACUAUAAGAAAUAAGAGUAGGCUUACAUUUAAUCCCAUAUUGACUGGUGUCAUUGAGCAUUUCUUGAUGUAAAUGAAGUGCAAUGUUAAUCUUUCCUGUUUGACAGAGCCCCUUCAUUAAAGUCCCAUAAGCAAUCGCAUCAGGCCUACAACCUAACUUUUUCAUACUCAUAAAUAGCUGUGUAGCUUCACUAAUCCUAUGCUUCAUACACAAGCCCUUAAUCAAGGUACUAUAGGUUACUAUAUCAAGAAUGCAACCUCUAUGAACCAUCACCUCUAGCAACUCGUUAGCCUCGAUAACCUUUCCUUCCUUGCAAAACAUAUCGAUCAACACACCAGACGUAGUCACAUCAGGCUGAAUACCUACAUCCAGCAUCUCAUUAAACAAACAUUUAGCCUUCUCCCACUUUCCACUAUGGCAAAAUCCAUGAAUCAAAGAGGUAUAUGAAAUGACAUCUGGCAUCAUCCCCUGAGCUUUCAUUUCCUUGAAAAGUUCUCUUGCCUCGUCUUCCCGCCUAUCCUUACAAAGUCCAUCAAUAAUGAUACUAUAAGAAAUUAGAGUAGGCUUACAAUUAAUCCCAUAUCGACCGGUGUCAUUGAGCAUUUCUUGAUGUAAUUGAAGUGCAAUGUUAAUAUUCCCUGUUUGACAGAGCCCCUUCAUUAAAGUCCCAUAAGUAAUCGCAUCAGGCCUACAACCUAACUUUUGCAUACU